rnacentral:rRNA from 1 species
UACGAAAGGGGGGCUAGCGUUGCUCGGAAUCACUGGGCGUAAAGGGCGCGUAGGCGGCCAUUCAAGUCGGAGGUGAAAGCCCAGGGCUCAACCCUGGAAUUGCCUUCGAUACUGUCUGGCUAGAGACCGGAAGAGGUAAGUGGAAACUGCGAGUGUAGAGGGUGAAAAUUCGUAGAUAUUUCGCAAGAACACCAGUGGCAAGGCGCUU